GGCAACUCCAAUUCUGACUACUUAGUCAAAUGAAAAGUUUUCUCUUAAAAUUAGGAAUCAAAAAAACUUGGGUUCCAGUCCAAUGCAUAUUUGCUAAAAGUCUCCAUUUCUUUGUCUUUAAAAUAAGAAAAUUGAAUUUCACAAUAGCUAAACUCUAUAAUUCAAAUUUCUUAAUGAAGAAAACAAUGGAGAAGAAGUUGAAAGGUCCUGGAUCCAUCUUGGUUCAAUCUGUGUUACUUGGGUGACAGUUGGAGCAGCCGGGGAAGAGCAAAACCAAGAUCUCAGAAGCAGAAGACUUGCAUUUGAAUCCAUUAUUUAGUAGCUUUGGGAUCUUUAUGUCUUAUGUCUUAAUCUUAUGUCAUUACUAUAAGUGUAAGUUUGCUUAUGUGUAAAAUGGGGAUAAUAAUAUCUAGUUUACAUGGUAUUUGGAAUUGUUGAGUGAGAGGAUUUAUGUAAAGUAUUAUAUGGCUUAUUUGAAGCAAGAGUUGUACCUCCCCUAAUACUUCCCUAUUUUCUAACCAAGAAAAAAUAAUGAAAAUAAAACAGUAUUCAAAAAGCC